rnacentral:lncRNA from 1 species
CCAUGAGAGACAUUGCUAUGAAACCCUACUGGAGGAGUCUUUACUGUGUUUUGCUGGUGGCACUGAUCGGUGCUCCAGGUUUGGAGGCCUGGGAGCAGAUUUCCUGGACCGGUGAGGUGACAGCUGGUUUCAGUACCACUUUCACCUGUUCCUCUUCUUGCCACCCAAACUGCAUCUACACCUGGUCUUUUGAGGGCCAUACGGUCAUCGGGAGCACGUUAACCUGGACACCAGAUGGACUGGACAAAACAGUGGAAUUAAAGUGCAACGUGCUCAAUCCAGAAACAGGAGUCUCCAGCAGUAUGACCUCCAUUGUAGAAAUUAAGAAUCGAGUGUCUGUGCAACUCAGUCCACCAAACACUGUCCCAUCUCUCAACCAGCCCCUGGAUGUGGUCUGCCAUGGUGCUCCAUCAGGUGACCACUCCGGACCAUCACACCUGGUGAACCAGGUGGUCUGGUACAAAAAUGGACAAAAAGUGAGUCUUCGUGAAAAUAUGCAGCUGCUGCAAAACAACCUCACACUUCACUUUGACUCGACACUGCCUUCUGAUGCUGGAUUCUACCUGUGUAAGUCUUAUGUACCUAUGGUUCAAGAGACAAGAGUUUUCAGCCUGGGCUAUCUACUCAGCUUUGAUCCAUGGAACGUCAGCAUCAACGGACCUGACACCGCGUUUCCUGGCAGAUUGAGUAAAUUCACCUGCUUGACGAGCUGUACCUUAAAUGUGGACUGUACUGUCAGAUGGCAGUUCAGGCAGGGUUUCCCCAUUGGAAGCUACUUUUCAGUCCAUGAAAAUGAGCUCAAGUGGACCCCUUCUAUACCAGGUACUUUCCAAAACCUCACCUGUGUUGCCGAAAAUGCAGCUGUUGGACGCUCUGCUGAGGCCACCAAGAUGGUAGAAGUUAGAGGUAUUCCUCUCUCUGGAUCAGAGGCGGUGCAGCUCAGUGGACUUCUUGCAAUGAUCGUCGGCCUGGGACUGCUGGUACUAUUUGAGUCAUAGGACUGUUUACUAUUUCUAUUUUUUUACCGUUUAUGCUUUAAUGAGUAUAUUUGCAUAUUUGCAUUUGAAAUGUACUUCUUUG